GAUGAAGAACGUAGCGAAAUGCGAUACGUAAUGUGAAUUGCAAAUUCAGCGAAUCAUCGAGUCUUUGAACGCACAUUGCGCCCCCUGGUAUUCCGGGGGGCAUGCCUGUCCGAGCGUCAUUGCUGCCCUCAAGCACGGCUUGUGUGUUGGGCCCCGUCCUCCGAUCCCGGGGGACGGGCCCGAAAGGCAGCGGCGGCACCGCGUCCGGUCCUCGAGCGUAUGGGGCUUUGUCACCCGCUCUGUAGGCCCGGCCGGCGCUUGCCGAUCAACCCAAAUUUUUUAUCCAGGUUGACCUCGGAUCAGGUAGGGAUACCCGCUGAACUUAAGCAUAUCAAUAAGCGGAGGA
rnacentral:misc_RNA from 1 species